UACGGGAGGCAGCAGUAGGGAAUAUUGCACAAUGGGCGCAAGCCUGAUGCAGCCAUGCCGCGUGUAUGAAGAAGGCCUUCGGGUUGUAAAGUACUUUCAGUCGUGAGGAAGGUGUUAAGGUUAAUAACCUUAGCAAUUGACGUUAGCGACAGAAGAAGCACCGGCUAACUCCGUGCCAGCAGCCGCGGUAAUACGGAGGGUGCGAGCGUUAAUCGGAAUUACUGGGCGUAAAGGGCACGCAGGCGGUUAAUUAAGUUGGAUGUGAAAUCCCCGGGCUUAACCUGGGAAUGGCAUUCAAGACUGGUUAGCUAGAGUCUUGUAGAGGGGGUAGAAUUCCAUGUGUAGCGGUGAAAUGCGUAGAGAUGUGGAGGAAUACCGGUGGCGAAGGCGGCCCCUGGACAAAGACUGACGCUCAUGUGCGAAAGCGUGGGGAGCAAAC
rnacentral:rRNA from 1 species